rnacentral:misc_RNA from 1 species
GGCAUGCGUCCUCCUUACAGUGCUAUUUCUUAUACCCGUUUUAAUAGUCCAAGGGCUUACACAUCUUGAGCAGUUGGAAAUCUGGUUUCCCUUUUUGAAAGGAUUGCUUAGAAUAGCAUUUGUUAGCCAAGUGAUUACCGGAUAUCUUCCUAGUCUUGUACUUCAACUGUUUCUCUAUGUUGUGCCAUCCAUAAUGAUUAUGUUCUCAUCCAUACAAGGAUACAUUGCUAUGAGCCAGAUAGAG